GGGACUGAGAAUAUCUCGACGGUUGCCCAGCCUCAUGACUCGUGUUCAAGCUGUUUCUCCCCGUAAAAGGCUUGGCAUUUUCCUUUCUCAGGUCUGCUUGAGUAUGCAAGCUUUCAGCGAUAACCGACUGACUCAUAAAAUUCGGCAUUCUUCUUUGACUUACAGGAGGUCCACUCGAUAAGUGCUUCGAACGUGGAGAGGAACUUAAGCGUCCGAAGUUCCUUGGAGUUGCUAGUGGCUUCGGAGGACCAGGUGAGAUUUUUCUUGUGGAUGAGGUUGUAGAGCUUGGAGAUGACUCUUGCUUGCAGCGCAAAACGUUGGAAGUUCUAGUCCGGGUCCCUGACUUUUCAUUUUGCAGAGCUUUGAUGGAGUCUAAGCGCACAUCCUGUAUAAGAAAGAUCAUCGAACCGUUAAACAAAAACUCGAGGUAUGUACCUUUUUCACGACGUUUUUCGUGGCUUGAAGCUUUAUGGCCCGUAUCUGCUCAACUGUCAUCGUAUUGUUCUUUUCUGGGAGCCGCGUGCUUUUUCCCAUAAGUUCUGUCUUGCGCCUUUCCAAAACAUCCUGCAUUGCUCUCA
rnacentral:lncRNA from 1 species